AGUGAACGCUGGCGGUAGGCCUAACACAUGCAAGUCGAACGGCAGCACAGUAAGAGCUUGCUCUUACGGGUGGCGAGUGGCGGACGGGUGGGGAAUACAUCGGAAUCUACUUUUUCGUGGGGGGAUAACGUAGGGAAACUUACGCUAAUACCGCAUACGACCUACGGGUGAAAGCAGGGGAUCUUCGGACCUUGCGCGAUUGAAUGAGCCGAUGUCGGAUUAGCUAGUUGGCGGGGUAAAGGCCCACCAAGGCGACGAUCCGUAGCUGGUCUGAGAGGAUGAUCAGCCACACUGGAACUGAGACACGGUCCAGACUCCUACGGGAGGCAGCAGUGGGGAAUAUUGGACAAUGGGCGCAAGCCUGAUCCAGCCAUACCGCGUGGGUGAAGAAGGCCUUCGGGUUGUAAAGCCCUUUUGUUGGGAAAGAAAAGCAGCAGGUUAAUACCCCGCUGUUCUGACGGUACCCAAAGAAUAAGCACCGGCUAACUUCGU
rnacentral:rRNA from 1 species